rnacentral:misc_RNA from 1 species
CAAUUUCCAGGGAUAAUGUCUCGCCUUUCUAGUUCUCCUUCCCCUCUUCCAGACCUAAACAUAGACCCUAACUCCAACCUUAACGUGGACCUGGUCCCGGAAUCCCAAGAUUACAAUCCCCUCCAACCAUCGCACACCACGUUUUCCGUCUCUGUCAACCCCAAGUGUGUGUCCAGCUCCGGCUGCGAUUUCUGUUCGGAUUCGGAUUCCAAUUUCCAUGCUUAUCCUCUCGAGCCACACUAUCCCUUCAGUCAUGGUGAUCACGAGUUUCAUUUGGGCGGUCUAGAUGUGGUAACGCAGUACAUGGAUGAUUUGGAUUCUUGGGGUCUUGAAGAUAACAACAACUUGGAUGCUCUCUCGAGCUAUAUGGAGUUAGGAUCUGGGUUUGGGGUUGAAUUAGGCAGGGAUGAAGUUCGCGCCGAUGGGCUUCGGGUUACCGGGAUUGACCCGGAGUUGGAGUCUGGUUCUGACCUCGAGAUUGUUGAAAUGGGUGCUGGUGGUGAUGAACCGGGCUCUCCUAGAUUAUGGGAUAGUUUUAUUGAUAAUCAGAUGGGAUUGGCCAAUCCUAAUGAGGAAUUUGAAUGGGAGGAAUUGGACCAAGCAAUCAAUGAAAGUGAAAAUCUGAUUAUGGCGUGUGAUAGAGUCGAGGAAUUAUCGCUAUCAUCAUCCAGUAUUUCAGUCGCAACAGAAGAUGGGGAGCUAACGGAAGAUGAGGAAAUGAAUAUUGAGUGGGAACUUUCAAUGGCCAUUAACAAUCAUAAUUUUUCAAUUGAGGNNNNNNUGUUGAUGAUGAUCAUACAUUUUUGGAACAAUUGGUGGAUAGUGACAUUCAUGAGAGGGGC